rnacentral:rRNA from 1 species
UCUUCCCUCUGGCGUCGUGCUUAGCACAUGCAAGUCGAACGAUGAAGCCCAGCUUGCUGGGUGGAUUAGUGGCGAACGGGUGAGUAACACGUGAGUAACCUGCCCUUGACUCUGGGAUAAGCCUGGGAAACUGGGUCUAAUACUGGAUAUGACUUCUCAUCGCAUGGUGGGGGGUGGAAAGAUUUAUUGGUCUUGGAUGGACUCGCGGCCUAUCAGCUUGUUGGUGAGGUAAUGGCUCACCAAGGCGACGACGGGUAGCCGGCCUGAGAGGGUGACCGGCCACACUGGGACUGAGACACGGCCCAGACUCCUACGGGAGGCAGCAGUGGGGAAUAUUGCACAAUGGGCGCAAGCCUGAUGCAGCGACGCCGCGUGAGGGAUGACGGCCUUCGGGUUGUAAACCUCUUUCAGUAGGGAAGAAGCGAGAGUGACGGUACCUGCAGAAGAAGCGCCGGCUAACUACGUG